UUUGCUGAACGUGAUGUUUGAAUUCAAAUAAUACUUCUUAAGAUUGAAAUAAGUCCAAAUGGGGAAUACUCCUUAAAUGGGAUGUUUGCAUUCGUAGCAAGUUGUUGAUUAACUUUGUGUUCCACAUACAUAUCUUUUGACCUAUUUACACCCAACAUCCUUCGAUUUAUAGGCCCUAAGAGUUCGCGUAAUGUUUGAACAACAAUGGAAUUUGAAGUACACACUUUCCUGACGUUAGUUAUAAAAGUGACAUAACUUUUAAGCAUUUUACUGGUGGAGACUUGACAUAAAUCCUACUUAAUUCAAAUUUUCCAAACAUUCCAUUUCUUUAAUACUCUUAAUCAUGUGAUCUUUGUAAAUAACAACAUAGAUAAUAAGAAUAGUUCAAUUAUACCGAUUAAAUCAAGUUGUGCAAGAAGGAUAAUGUUGAGUGUGCGUGACACGCAGCAGAAAGCAAAGCUGGUAUUAAUUAGCCCGUCUUUUCGGGAUGUACUAAUUGCAGCUCUGGCCCAUCGCACAACUGUACUUAUAUCCAAUGAAAUGCCAAAACUAUGUAGGAAACCCUUCCCGAAACACUGAAUCCACGAAUUAGUGCCACUUUUGAGAGCCAGUCGGCCGUGUAAAGAGGGCUAUAACGCUCGCACUUUGUACCUGGACUGCGCUAAUGGAUCGGAACCCAAGAAUGAUAUAAGCACGAGAAUGAGUUGACAAAUCUAACGAUUCCCGGAUGAAGUUACAGAUUCUCUUAAGGUCAAUAUAUAUAUUAGGAUGAAUGCUUGGCAUAUAAACCUAACCUUCAAAUCUAUUUUAAAUAUGCAUAUGGAUAGUCUGUUUCCGACUUGUCAAAUAAAUAUAAAUUGAUUUUGAAGUGAAAUCGAAUAAAUGUUCGUUUUGCAAUUCACCAUAAAGUAAUUUUAAUAAAUUAAUGUGUAUUAUGUUUAAGUGUUUGGAGUAGUUCAAAUAGAAAUAUUGUGAGUGAAUUGCACUUAGAAUUUCUCAAAAGAGGAAAUUCAAUCAAUUUGCGACACACAAUGAAGCAAAUCCGAAAGAGUCAGUGCGUCUGAACCGGUCUAAUCACAGAAUGCAAAUCGCAGCGAUUCCUCCAUUGGAAACUGGACACCGGGUGACAAGAGGAAAUUCCAGGAAGAGAGUGCAUACAACUGCCAAGUGCUUUCGAAUUCAAAUUCGCUUGGGCCACGUCCAUGUCGCCGUCCAGAAGCCCGUGUCCCCGCUCCUCCCCCGGAAUUAUGCCAACCAGAACCAUUCUCAUUCUGAGUCGGUUCUCCAUGUCCAUGUCCACGGGCCCAGACCACGCUCAAAUGUUCAAAUGUCCAAAAGAUUCGCUUGGCUGCGUAUCAGUUAGUUGCGCGUAAUGCCCAAAGUCAUUAUGGCAAAAAUCGCAAAAAGACUAAACGUUAAAAAUGCUGAAAUUAAAACUAUAUAUACGAAUUAUGAAAUUGUUUAUCGGAAUAAGGCGAUGCGAGGCACAAAAACGGCCAACUAGCGAUGACAAUAUGGAAACUGGAAACAAAAGUGGCAAAAAGUUAAGCUAAAGUAAUUAUAAUUUAAAAACAAGCUCGAGACAAAAGAGCACACGUCACUAAUCCAUAGUGUAAUUCUCUAGAUACAAUUACAAGAUUAGAAACGAUUUUAUGAAACAUUUAAAUACUGCAAAUGGGCAUUGUUUUGGAGUUAAAAUUUUUUAUAAGCUUAAAUCAUUUCGGGUUCAGUGGUUGAGUUCACUCAUUGCUUAAUCAUUUCAUAGGCCAAAAUCGCAUCAAUUUAGAAGGUGGAAUUAUAUAUAAUAAA